GGGGAUUCAGCUCAGUGGCGUAAGCACCUGUGUUUCAAGCAGGCAGUUGUGAGUUCAACCCCUCAAUCCCUG
rnacentral:tRNA from 1 species